GGGGAUGACUGGCUUUGACAGCGUGAUGAAGCGGUAUGUAAGCAUGCAGAGCUUGGAUACGGAAGCUCUAUAAUACCAACUGUAUCGAACUAUAAUUGGCGAAAAUAACAACUACGCUCUCGCUGCUUGAUCUGAAGUACAGUAGGAUCGCUUAAUCUCUCCAACAGUUGGAGAGACGAGACAUCACUCCAUUGCCCCGUUCCGAGACGUUUGGACAAAGUGGUGCAGAGAAAAUCGGAAAUAGGAAACGGGAGGCCCGCUCCCGCGACUGAAAUCCUUAGGGCUAAGGAAAAGAAUGGCUGUCGCGAGUUUCUCUUUUCCCGACAAUCAAUUCGCAGACUAAGCAUGUAGAAAGCUUACUGAUUCCGCGUUUGGACGAGGGUUCAAACCCCUCCAUCUCCACUU
rnacentral:tmRNA from 1 species